AUUCUACUCCCUCCGUUCCACAAUACAUGCCUUCUAUUUGUCAAAUCAUAGAUGUAUCUAGACAUGUUUUAGUAUAUAGGUACAUCCAUUUUUGGACAAAUGGAAGUCAAGUAUUUUGGAAUGGAGGGAGUACAAA
rfam:Triticum aestivum genome assembly, contig: Triticum_aestivum_CS42_TGACv1_scaffold_502157_6BL